rnacentral:rRNA from 1 species
GACGAACGCUGGCGGCGUGCUUAACACAUGCAAGUCGAACGGAAAGGCCCUGCUUUUGUGGGGUGCUCGAGUGGCGAACGGGUGAGUAACACGUGAGUAACCUGCCCUUGACUUUGGGAUAACUUCAGGAAACUGGGGCUAAUACCGGAUAGGAGCUCCUGCUGCAUGGUGGGGGUUGGAAAGUUUCGGCGGUUGGGGAUGGACUCGCGGCUUAUCAGCUUGUUGGUGGGGUAGUGGCUUACCAAGGCUUUGACGGGUAGCCGGCCUGAGAGGGUGACCGGCCACAUUGGGAAUGAGAUACGGCCCAGACUCCUACGGGAGGCAGCAGUGGGGAAUAUUGCACAAUGGGCGGAAGCCUGAUGCAGCAACGCCGCGUGCGGGAUGACGGCCUUCGGGUGGUAAACCGCUUUCGCCUGUGACGAAGCGUGAGUGACGGUAAUGGGUAAAGAAGCACCGGCGAACUACGU